CCCAGACUCCUACGGGAGGCAGCAGUGGGGGAUAUUGCACAAUGGGGGGAACCCUGAUGCAGCGACGCCGCGUGGGUGAAGGAGCGUUUCGGCGCGUAAAGCCCUAUCGGCAGGGAAGAAGGAGGACGGUACCUGACUAAGAAGCCCCGGCUAACUACGUGCCAGCAGCCGCGGUAAUACGUAGGGGGCAAGCGUUAUCCGGAUUUACUGGGUGUAAAGGGGGCGCAGACGGCAGCGCAAGCCAGGAGUGGAAGCCCGGGGCCCAACCCCGGGACUGCUCUUGGAACUGCGCGGCUGGAGUGCAGGAGGGGCAGGCGGAAUUCCUAGUGUAGCGGUGAAAUGCGUAGAUAUUAGGAGGAACACCGGUGGCGAAGGCGGCCUGCUGGACGACGACUGACGCUGAGGCUCGAAAGCGUGGGGAGCAAACAGGAUUAGAUACCCCUGUAAAA
rnacentral:rRNA from 1 species